GCUUUGGUUGCGCCAUGCCGAUGUACCAGACAAGAAGACAAGAAAAUGAUUUGAGGACAGCUUCAAUCGCGGUGUGAAGAAGAAAGCAGCAAAACGACCACUGAAAACAACGCCGGUGGCAAAAUAUCCAAAGAAAGGGUCCCAAGCGGUACAUCGUCAUAGCCGGAAACAGUCAGAGCCACCAGCCAAUGAUCUUUUCAAUGCUGCGAAAGCUGCCAAAAGUGACAUGCAGGGAUGUCCUUCCUGAGAUCCGUGCUAUCUGCAUUGAGGAAAUUGGGUGUUGGAUGCAAAGCUACAGCACGUCUUUCCUCACCGACAGCUAUUUAAAAUAUAUUGGUUGGACUCUGCAUGAUAAGCACCGAGAAGUCCGCGUGAAGUGCGUGAAGGCUCUGAAAGGGCUGUACGGUAACCGGGACCUGACCGCACGCCUGGAGCUCUUCACUGGCCGCUUCAAGGACUGGAUGGUUUCCAUGAUCAUGGACAGAGAGUACAGUGUGGCAGUGGAGGCCGUCAGAUUACUGAUACUUAUCCUUAAAAUCGGCUCCCAGACACCUGCCACUCGUGAAUGCAUCUGAUAAACUCACUCACACUGAGGCCUUGGGGACUGAGAGUGCGAUGACAUGGAUCCUGCGGACAAACCGCCCCAGGGCGUACCUAGCACCGAAGCAUCAGGCGCCACUAGGUCUCCAGCUCCUUCUCGGAUGACGUCCUUCAGCACGCCCCGGUCCCCCGAGAUGUCCAGCAUCCUCUGACUUAACCGCUCGUACAGGGACUGAUGGAGAAUGAAAGCCAGGCCUCAGAGCCGCAGACCCACCCGGCCACCCCUCAGCGUCUACGCCCCCACGUCUGGGCCCUCACCUGGCCGGGGGCGUCGUCCCCUUCCAGGACUCCCUGGUUUAACGCGCUUCCCCCCAUGUCCUAGCUGCCCUCCCUGUGGCGUGAGCCUUCGGCCUGGUGCGCCCCGCUGCCCUUCCUGGCUGUGACUCUGGUGGGGUUCCGAAGGCCCCUUUAUGCCCGGCAGACCCCUACCGAC
rnacentral:lncRNA from 1 species